rnacentral:rRNA from 1 species
GAGUUUGAUCAUGGCUCAGAUUGAACGCUGGCGGCAGGCCUAACACAUGCAAGUCGAGCGGUAGCACAGGAGAGCUUGCUCUCUGGGUGACGAGCGGCGGACGGGUGAGUAAUGUCUGGGAAACUGCCUGAUGGAGGGGGAUAACUACUGGAAACGGUAGCUAAUACCGCAUAACCUCGCAAGAGCAAAGAGGGGGACCUUCGGGCCUCUCGCCAUCAGAUGUGCCCAGAUGGGAUUAGCUAGUAGGUGAGGUAAUGGCUCACCUAGGCGACGAUCCCUAGCUGGUCUGAGAGGAUGACCAGCCACACUGGAACUGAGACACGGUCCAGACUCCUACGGGAGGCAGCAGUGGGGAAUAUUGCACAAUGGGCGCAAGCCUGAUGCAGCCAUGCCGCGUGUGUGAAGAAGGCCUUCGGGUUGUAAAGCACUUUCAGCGGGGAGGAAGGCGAUAAGGUUAAUAACCUUGUCGAUUGACGUUACCCGCAGAAGAAGCACCGGCUAACUCCGUGCCAGCAGCCGCGGUAAUACGGAGGGUGCAAGCGUUAAUCGGAAUGACUGGGCGUAAAGCGCACGCAGGCGGUCUGUUAAGUUGGAUGUGAAAUCCCCGGGCUUAACCUGGGAACUGCAUUCAAAACUGACAGGCUAGAGUCUUGUAGAGGGGGGUAGAAUUCCAGGUGUAGCGGUGAAAUGCGUAGAGAUCUGGAGGAAUACCGGUGGCGAAGGCGGCCCCCUGGACAAAGACUGACGCUCAGGUGCGAAAGCGUGGGGAGCAAACAGGAUUAGAUACCCUGGUAGUCCACGCUGUAAACGAUGUCGACUUGGAGGUUGUGCCCUUGAGGCGUGGCUUCCGGAGCUAACGCGUUAAGUCGACCGCCUGGGGAGUACGGCCGCAAGGUUAAAACUCAAAUGAAUUGACGGGGGCCCGCACAAGCGGUGGAGCAUGUGGUUUAAUUCGAUGCAACGCGAAGAACCUUACCUACUCUUGACAUCCAGAGAAUUUGCUAGAGAUAGCUUAGUGCCUUCGGGAACUCUGAGACAGGUGCUGCAUGGCUGUCGUCAGCUCGUGUUGUGAAAUGUUGGGUUAAGUCCCGCAACGAGCGCAACCCUUAUCCUUUGUUGCCAGCGAUUCGGUCGGGAACUCAAAGGAGACUGCCGGUGAUAAACCGGAGGAAGGUGGGGAUGACGUCAAGUCAUCAUGGCCCUUACGAGUAGGGCUACACACGUGCUACAAUGGCGUAUACAAAGAGAAGCGACCUCGCGAGAGUAAGCGGACCUCAUAAAGUACGUCGUAGUCCGGAUUGGAGUCUGCAACUCGACUCCAUGAAGUCGGAAUCGCUAGUAAUCGUAGAUCAGAAUGCUACGGUGAAUACGUUCCCGGGCCUUGUACACACCGCCCGUCACACCAUGGGAGUGGGUUGCAAAAGAAGUAGGUAGCUUAACCUUCGGGAGGGCGCUUACCACUUUGUGAUUCAUGACUGGGGUGAAGUCGUAACAAGGUAACCGUAGGGGAACCUGCGGUUGGAUCACCUCCUUA